AUUGAACGCUAGCGGGAUGCUUUACACAUGCAAGUCGAACGAGUGGCGGACGGGUGAGUACGAUAUCGGAACGUGCCCGGUAGAGAGGGAUAACUACUCGUAAGUGUGGCUAAUACCGCAUAGUAUUGGAGCUGCCGAAAUCGGAUUAGCUAGUUGGUGGGGUAAAGGCUCACAAAGGCAACGAUCCGUAGCUGGUUUGCGAGGACGACCAGCCACACUGGGACUGAGACACGGCCCAGACUCCUACGGGAGGCAGCAGUGGGGAAUUUUGGACAAUGGGGGAAACCCUGAUCCAGCCAUCCCGCGUGUAUGAGAAGGCCUUCGGGUUGUAAAGUACUUUUGGCAGAGAAGCGGUAUCUGCAGAAUAAGCACCGGCUAACUACGUGCCAGCCGCCGCGGUAAUAC
rnacentral:rRNA from 1 species